CUACACAUGCAAGUCGAGCGGUAACACAGAGAGCUUGCUCUCGGGUGACGAGCGGCGGACGGGUGAGUAAUGUCUGGGAAACUGCCUGAUGGAGGGGGAUAACUACUGGAAACGGUAGCUAAUACCGCAUAAUGUCGCAAGACCAAAGAGGGGGACCUUCGGGCCUCUUGCCAUCAGAUGUGCCCAGAUGGGAUUAGCUAGUAGGUGGGGUAACGGCUCACCUAGGCGACGAUCCCUAGCUGGUCUGAGAGGAUGACCAGCCACACUGGAACUGAGACACGGUCCAGACUCCUACGGGAGGCAGCAGUGGGGAAUAUUGCACAAUGGGCGCAAGCCUGAUGCAGCCAUGCCGCGUGUAUGAAGAAGGCCUUCGGGUUGUAAAGUACUUUCAGCGGGGAGGAAGGUGUUGAGGUUAAUAACCUCAGCAAUUGACGUUACCCGCAGAAGAAGCACCGGCUAACUCCGUGCCAGCAGCCGCGGUAAUACGGAGGGUGCAAGCGUUAAUCGGAAUUACUGGGCGUAAAGCGCACGCAGGCGGUCUGUCAAGUCGGAUGUGAAAUCCCCGGGCUCAACCUGGGAACUGCAUUCGAAACUGGCAGGCUAGAGUCUUGUAGAGGGGGGUAGAAUUCCAGGUGUAGCGGUGAAAUGCGUAGAGAUCUGGAGGAAUACCGGUGGCGAAGGCGGCCCCCUGGACAAAGACUGACGCUCAGGUGCGAAAGCGUGGGGGAGCAAACAGGAUUAGAUACCCUGGUAGUCCACGCCGUAAACGAUGUCGACUUGGAGGUUGUGCCCUUGAGGCGUGGCUUCCGGAGCUAACGCGUUAAGUCGACCGCCUGGGGAGUACGGCCGCAAGGUUAAAACUCAAAUGAAUUGACGGGGGCCCGCACAAGCGGUGGAGCAUGUGGUUUAAUUCGAUGCAACGCGAAGAACCUUACCUACUCUUGACAUCCAGAGAACUUUCCAGAGAUGGAUUGGUGCCUUCGGGAACUCUGAGACAGGUGCUGCAUGGCUGUCGUCAGCUCGUGUUGUGAAAUGUUGGGUUAAGUCCCGCAACGAGCGCAACCCUUAUCCUUUGUUGCCAGCGGUUCGGCCGGGAACUCAAAGGAGACUGCCAGUGAUAAACUGGAGGAAGGUGGGGAUGACGUCAAGUCAUCAUGGCCCUUACGAGUAGGGCUACACACGUGCUACAAUGGCGCAUACAAAGAGAAGCGACCUCGCGAGAGCAAGCGGACCUCAUAAAGUGCGUCGUAGUCCGGAUUGGAGUCUGCAACUCGACUCCAUGAAGUCGGAAUCGCUAGUAAUCGUAGAUCAGAAUGCUACGGUGAAUACGUUCCCGGGCCUUGUACACACCGCCCGUCACACCAUGGGAGUGGGUUGCAAAAGAAGUAGGUAGCUUAACCUUCGGGAGGGCGCUUACCACUUUGUGAUUCAUGACUGGGGUGAAGUCGUAACA
rnacentral:rRNA from 1 species